UACAGAGGUGGCAAGCGUUGUUCGGAAUUACUGGGCGUAAAGGGCGCGUAGGCGGCCUUCUAAGUCAGACGUGAAAUCCCAAAGCUUAACUUUGGAACUGCGUCGGAUACUGGAUGGCUUGAAUUCGGGAGAGGGAUGCAGAAUUCCAGGUGUAGCGGUGAAAUGCGUAGAUAUCUGGAGGAAUACCGGUGGCGAAGGCGGCAUCCUGGACCGACAUUGACGCUGAGGAGCGAAAGCUAGGGGAGCAAACGGG
rnacentral:rRNA from 1 species